rnacentral:rRNA from 1 species
CUUGAUUUUUUAGGGGGGGGACUACAGUCAUUCGACGCCCCUGCAGGAGAGCUUGCGCUACGGGCGGCGAGUGUAGGACGGGAGAGGAAUACAUCGGAAUCUGCUUUUAAAUGGGGGAUAACGAAGGGAAACUUACGCUGUUUCCGGUGAGAACCUGUGGUCGAAUCCCGGGUCUCUUCGGACCUUGCGCGAUUGGCAGAGCCGAUGUCCCAUUAGGUGCCUGGCGGGGUAAAGGCCCACCUUAAUUACGAUCCGCUCAUGGUCUGCUUUCAUGAUCAGCAAACCUGGAACUGAGACUGCAUUAAGACUCGGCCGGAGGCAGGGGAGAGGAAUAUUGGACAAUGGGCGCACUCCUGAUCCAUCCAUACCGGAUGCGUUAAGAACGCCUUCUGGUUUGCAAGCCCUUUUGUUGGCAAACAAAUCGGCGGUGCUAAUACCUGGUUGGGAUGACGGGACCCACACAAUAAGCACCGUGUAACUUCAAGCCAACAGCCGGGCCAAUACCAAGAGAGCAGCCGUUAUGCUGACUUACUGGCCUUAGAUCGUGCCUCCUGAGUCGCUUCACUCUGUCGACACUCCCUGAGAUGACCUGAAACACUGCAGGACAAUCUGGACAACUAGAGUGUCCCACAGGAAACCGCAAUUCGCGCUCUCCUGUUCCAAACGCUGCCACAUCAGGGGGAACUGUCCAUCGUUUAAUGCCUUCUGCAGGCACGACACUUGACACUGAGGCACGAAAGGAGGGGUCACAAAUCGGUAUUGGUUCCUUGGUAAACCCUGGCCUUAUACGAUGCA